CAAUAAGCGGAGGAAAAGAAACCAACAGGGAUUGCCCCAGUAACGGCGAGUGAAGCGGCAACAGCUCAAAUUUGAAAUCUGGCUCCCCCCUGGGGGGCCCGAGUUGUAAUUUGGAGAGGAUGCUUUGGGCGCGGCGCCUUCCGAGUUCCUUGGAACAGGACGCCAGAGAGGGUGAGAGCCCCGUACGGUCGGACGCCUAGCCCGUGCAAAGCUCCUUCGAACGAGUCGAGUAGUUUGGGAAUGCUGCUCAAAAUGGGAGGUAAAUUUCUUCUAAAGCUAAAUACCGGCCAGAGACCGAUAGCGCACAAGUAGAGUGAUCGAAAGAUGAAAAGCACUUUGAAAAGAGGGUUAAACAGCACGUGAAAUUGUUGAAAGGGAAGCGCCUGUGGCCAGACGUGCGCCCCGCGGACCACCCGUCGCUCUGCGGCGGGGCACGCCGCGGCGGCGCAGGCCAGCAUCGGCUCUCCCAGGGGGACAAAGGCCGCGGGAACGUAGCUCCUUCGGGAGUGUUAUAGCCCGCGGCGCCAUGCCUCUGGGGGGGCCGAGG
rnacentral:rRNA from 1 species